GACGAACGCUGGCGGCGUGCCUAACACAUGCAAGUCGAACGGAGAAUUAGCAAUAAUUCUUAGUGGCGAACGGGUGAGUAACGCGUAGACAAACUACCCUUUAGAUGGGGACAACACCGCGAGAGUGGUGCUAAUACCGAAUAUUGCUUGAGAAGCGCAUGCUUUUCAAACUAAAGAUGGCCUCUAUUUAUAAGCUAUCGCUAAAGAAUGGGUCUGCGUCUGAUUAGCUAGUUGGUGAGAUAAAAGCCAACCAAGGCAACGAUCAGUAGCCGGUCUGAGAGGAUGAACGGCCACACUGGGACUGAGACACGGCCCAGACUCCUACGGGAGGCAGCAGUGGGGAAUCUUCCGCAAUGGACGAAAGUCUGACGGAGCAACGCCGCGUGAGUGAUGAAGGUUUUCGGAUCGUAAAACUCUGUUGUAAAGGACGAAUGUAUAGAUUGUGAAUAAUGGUUUAUAAUGACGGUACUUAACGAGGAAGCCACGGCUAACUACGUGCCAGCCGCCGCCGUAA
rnacentral:rRNA from 1 species